AAUAACACCCGCUACGUCAGCGUGACGUCAUAUCGUUCGAUCCUGUUGUCUCUGUCUUAGAGAGGGAAGGCACGAGAAACCGGCCGCCCCGCGCGCCGCCACACUUUGCUCGAGCGCUUGGCUGUGACGGACGUUCUCUCGGUUCAGGGACUGUGAUAUUUGUGACCUAGAUCAUUAUUUCUGCCAUAGGCAUAUUUCUUUAUUACGUUAAUUUGAUUUGUGGAAUUAUUGGUUUCGGUUAUGUAAUAAAUCGAUAUCUGCUGGUGCCGUACAUUACUUUUAAAAAGCACUCUCACCUCUGAUCCUUAAGAUCAGAAGUGGGAUUGACCACGCGUUCUAACCGUUUUUGCCAUCUAUUUUUGCCUUAGUUUGUGAUUAUCAGUGCAGUGUUAAAAGUUAAGAUGACCAGGCGUUCGUCUAGAUUAAAAAAAGAACGUGAUUAUUCUCGUAAACAGUGUCGUGAUAAAAGUUAGUUAAACGUCGGGUUUGUUCGAAUAUCGAAUGCCGCCGUUAAAUGAACGUGUGCAUCGAUUGAGUAUUGAGUAUCGAGAUGAUAACCAUGGAACCGAACAUGGGUGAACCAACCUGGUGAGGGUCAGCCUCAAGCUGCACCUCAGGACUCCGAGCAUCAGCUUCCUGCAGACCAGGGCUGCGAUGACCAGCCUUUGGCGGGUUCGAGCUGCGCAGACCAGUUUUCAAACGUCGGCGAGGUUAUGCUGCGCGCUGAAGAAGCCGUGGCUGAUGGGGAGCAGGCAGCGGUCGAGGACGCCGCACGAUCAGGAACGGCCGUCUUAGAAAUAACACCCGCUACGUCAGCGUGACGUCAUAUCGUUCGAUCCUGUUGUCUCUGUCUUAGAGAGGGAAGGCACGAGAAACCGGCCGCCCCGCGCGCCGCCACACUUUGCUCGAGCGCUUGGCUGUGACGGACGUUCUCUCGGUUCAGGGACUGUGAUAUUUGUGACCUAGAUCAUUAUUUCUGCCAUAGGCAUAUUUCUUUAUUACGUUAAUUUGAUUUGUGGAAUUAUUGGUUUCGGUUAUGUAAUAAAUCGAUAUCUGCUGGUGC